rnacentral:rRNA from 1 species
AGAACCUUACCAGCUCUUGACAUGUCUCGUAUGGGGAUCGGAGACGGUUUCCUUCAGUUCGGCUGGCGAGAACACAGGUGCUGCAUGGCUGUCGUCAGCUCGUGUCGUGAGAUGUUGGGUUAAGUCCCGCAACGAGCGCAACCCUCGCCCUUAGUUGCCAUCAUUCAGUUGGGCACUCUAGGGGGACUGCCGGUGAUAAGCCGAGAGGAAGGUGGGGAUGACGUCAAGUCCUCAUGGCCCUUACGGGCUGGGCUACACACGUGCUACAAUGGCGGUGACAAUGGGAUGCUGAGGGGCGACCUCGAGCAAAUCUCAAAAAGCCGUCUCAGUUCGGAUUGCACUCUGCAACUCGAGUGCAUGAAGGUGGAAUCGCAGAUCAGCACGCUGCGGUGAAUACGUUCCCGGGCCUUGUCACACCGA